AGUGAACGCUGGCGGUAGGCCUAACACAUGCAAGUCGAACGGCAGCACAGUAAGAGCUUGCUCUUACGGGUGGCGAGUGGCGGACGGGUGAGGAAUACAUCGGAAUCUACUUUUUCGUGGGGGAUAACGUAGGGAAACUUACGCUAAUACCGCAUACGACCUACGGGUGAAAGCAGGGGAUCUUCGGACCUUGCGCGAUUGAAUGAGCCGAUGUAGGAUUAGCUAGUUGGCGGGGUAAAGGCCCACCAAGGCGACGAUCCGUAGCUGGUCUGAGAGGAUGGUCAGCAACACUGGAAAUGAGACACGGUCCAGACUCCUACGGGAGGCAGCAGUGGGGAAUAUUGGACAAAAGGCGCAAGCCUGAUCCAGCCAUACCGCGUGGGUGAAGAAGGCCUUCGGGUUGUAAAGCCCUUUUGUUGGGAAAGAAAAGCAGCAGGUUAAUACCCCGCUGUUCUGACGGUACCCAAAGAAUAAGCACCGGCUAACUUCGUG
rnacentral:rRNA from 1 species